UGGGGAAUAUUGCACAAUGGGCGCAAGCCUGAUGCAGCCAUGCCGCGUGUAUGAAGAAGGCCUUCGGGUUGUAAAGUACUUUCAGCGGGGAGGAAGGUGGUAAGGUUAAUAACCUCAUCGAUUGACGUUACCCGCAGAAGAAGCACCGGCUAACUCCGUGCCAGCAGCCGCGGUAAUACGGAGGGUGCAAGCGUUAAUCGGAAUUACUGGGCGUAAAGCGCACGCAGGCGGUCUGUCAAGUCGGAUGUGAAAUCCCCGGGCUCAACCUGGGAACUGCAUUCGAAACUGGCAGGCUAGAGUCUUGUAGAGGGGGGUAGAAUUCCAGGUGUAGCGGUGAAAUGCGUAGAGAUCUGGAGGAAUACCGGUGGCGAAGGCGGCCCCCUGGACAAAGACUGACGCUCAGGUGCGAAAGCGUGGGGAGCAAACAGG
rnacentral:rRNA from 1 species